ACAUGCAAGUCGAGCGAACAGAAGGGAGCUUGCUCCCGGAUGUUAGCGGCGGACGGGUGAGUAACACGUGGGUAACCUGCCUGUAAGACUGGGAUAACUCCGGGAAACCGGAGCUAAUACCGGAUAGUUCCUUGAACCGCAUGGUUCAAGGAUGAAAGACGGUUUCGGCUGUCACUUACAGAUGGACCCGCGGCGCAUUAGCUAGUUGGUGGGGUAAUGGCUCACCAAGGCGACGAUGCGUAGCCGACCUGAGAGGGUGAUCGGCCACACUGGGACUGAGACACGGCCCAGACUCCUACGGGAGGCAGCAGUAGGGAAUCUUCCGCAAUGGACGAAAGUCUGACGGAGCAACGCCGCGUGAGUGAUGAAGGUUUUCGGAUCGUAAAGCUCUGUUGUUAGGGAAGAACAAGUGCGAGAGUAACUGCUCGCACCUUGACGGUACCUAACCAGAAAGCCACGGCUAACUACGUGCCAGCAGCCGCGGUAAUACGUAGGUGGCAAGCGUUGUCCGGAAUUAUUGGGCGUAAAGGGCUCGCAGGCGGUUUCUUAAGUCUGAUGUGAAAGCCCCCGGCUCAACCGGGGAGGGUCAUUGGAAACUGGGAAACUUGAGUGCAGAAGAGGAGAGUGGAAUUCCACGUGUAGCGGUGAAAUGCGUAGAGAUGUGGAGGAACACCAGUGGCGAAGGCGACUCUCUGGUCUGUAACUGACGCUGAGGAGCGAAAGCGUGGGGAGCGAACAGGAUUAGAUACCCUGGUAGUCCACGCCGUAAACGAUGAGUGCUAAGUGUUA
rnacentral:rRNA from 1 species